ensembl:lncRNA
AACGUGAGAGCAGGUGAUUGUCCAGAGAUAAAAACCCUCAUGUUUUAAAUUCCUUACAUUUGCAGUCCUGUCACAUAGACUCGGCGCUAUACAGGUCCAGUAAUGUUUCGGUCGCCGUUUGAAGCCAGCACCACUGGGAUGAAAACUGAUGGCUAGACUAAAGUGAGAAGGAGAGAAAAUGAGAUAGGGAGGGUAGAGAGGGCAGGAAAGACAUGGAAGAGAAAUAGAGAGUGGUAGAGAGGUAGAGGAGGGGAGGCACAUGUAGACUGAGAGAAAGAUGAAAUCCUCGUAAUUUUCUGUGCCUGUAUGUGUGUUUGUGGGUUCAUGGAUUCAGUGUGUGUGUGUGUGAACAUUUUUGUAGCGCUAGACAUGGUAUAUGAGGGUCAUGGAUUUGCACAGACCGUGGUUGCUAGGAUACUGUCAAAAGGAUGGCUCUAUCUGGUGUGGUGAAUUUCAUUGGCGGCUGGCCUGAGUCACAGGUCAUACACUGAUGGGGGGUGAUUCAUGUCUUUAUUAACAUACUCAUUUAGGAUGAGGGCCUGCUGGCAUUACAUGCACAUCGAUCUACUGUAUUUGUGUGGGAGAGUGAGAGCAAAUGUAAGCACAAUAAGGAAUAGUAAUGCUAGCUCCGGUUCUCUGUGCGGAACAGGCAAUUCUUGCUGAAUGCACCUCCCCAACAGGGGUGAUACGUUUAUUAAGAUUAAUAUGCUAUUGUAGAUGCUUUAUCCUGGUCUGGGUCAUUGUGCUUUAAAUUGUGGGUGGUAUAAAAUACUGCAGGAGUGGGUGGGAUUGGUCAAGAGUGUUCGUGGAAGUGGAAAAUUCCUUUUCCAUGCUGUAAAACAAUGAUAUCAAGUACAAAUAUCAGCUGAAUAUAGGCAAAUAUGUUUACUAUAUCCUAUGAUAAGAUCACAACAAACCAAAUAUAAGAUUAGUAAACCAAUUUCUAGUCAUUUGUACUAAUGUCAAGCUUUAAAUGUUCAUAUUCUCAUUACAUCAAAAUGUAAUUUUGCUAUUUUGCUUCUUUCUAGAAAUAAAUGCUUAAAAUGAGCACCUGCCUAUAGAACAAGACUAUUUCAAGCUUG